UACGGAGGGGGCUAGCGUUGUUCGGAAUUACUGGGCGUAAAGCGCGCGUAGGCGGACCUGCAAGUCGGGGGUGAAAGCCCGAGGCUCAACCUCGGAACUGCCUUCGAUACUGCGGGUCUCGAGUCCGGGAGAGGUGAGUGGAAUUCCUAGUGUAGAGGUGAAAUUCGUUAGAUAUUAGGAAGAACACCAGUGGCGAAGGCGGCUCACUGGCCCGGUACUGACGCUGAGGCGCGAAAGCGUGGGGAGCAACA
rnacentral:rRNA from 1 species